rnacentral:rRNA from 1 species
AGAGUUUGAUCCUGGCUCAGGAUGAACGCUGGCGGCAUGCCUAAUACAUGCAAGUCGAACGGAGAAGCCUAACAGAAGAUGCUUGCAUCGGAAGAUAGAUACUUCUCAGUGGCGAACGGGUGAGUAACACGUAGGUAACCUGCCCAUGUGCCCGGGAUAAUUUCUGGAAACGGAAACUAAAACCGGAUAGGUAAUAGAGAAGCAUUUCUGUAUUAUUAAAGAAGCCUCAAAGCUUUGAACAUGGAUGGACCUGCGGUGCAUUAGCUAGUUGGUAAGGUAACGGCCUACCAAGGCGACGAUGCAUAGCCGACCUGAGAGGGCGAACGGCCACAUUGGGACUGAGACACGGCCCAAACUCCUACGGGAGGCAGCAGUAGGGAAUUUUCGUCAAUGGGGGGAACCCUGAACGAGCAAUGCCGCGUGAGUGAAGACGGUCUUCGGAUUGUAAAGCUCUGUUGUGAGAGAAAAAGGAUAUAUAUAGGAAAUGAUAUGUAUUUGAUGGUAUCUCACCAGAAAGUCACGGCUAACUACGUGCCAGCAGCCGCGGUAAUACGUAGGUGGCGAGCGUUAUCCGGAAUGAUUGGGCGUAAAGGGUACGUAGGCGGCAUGAUAAGUCUGGAGUGAAAGGCUACAGCUCAACUGUAGUAUGCUCUGGAAACUGUCAAGCUAGAGUGCAGAAGAGGGCAAUGGAACUCCAUGUGUAGCGGUAAAAUGCGUAGAUAUAUGGAAGAACACCGGUGGCGAAGGCGGCCGUCUGGUCUGGAUUCUGACACUGAAGCACGAAAGCGUGGGGAGCAAAUAGGAUUAGAUACCCUAGUAGUCCACGCCGUAAACGAUGAGAACUAGGUGUUGGGGGAAUAACUCAGUGCCGCAGUUAACGCAAUAAGUUCUCCGCCUGGGGAGUAUGCACGCAAGUGUGAAACUCAAAGGAAUUGACGGGGGCCCGCACAAGCGGUGGAGUAUGUGGUUUAAUUCGAAGCAACGCGAAGAACCUUACCAGGCCUUGACAUCCCUUGCAGAGAUAUAGAGAUAUAUCCGAGGUUAUCAAGGAGACAGGUGGUGCAUGGUUGUCGUCAGCUCGUGUCGUGAGAUGUUGGGUUAAGU